rnacentral:rRNA from 1 species
UACGUAGGCAGCAAGCGUUGUUCGGAAUUACUGGGCGUAAAGGGCUCGUAGGUGGCCAACUAAGUCAGACGUGAAAUCCCUCGGCUUAACCGGGGAACUGCGUCUGAUACUGGAUGGCUUGAGUUCGGGAGAGGGAUGCGGAAUUCCAGGUGUAGCGGUGAAAUGCGUAGAUAUCUGGAGGAACACCGGUGGCGAAGGCGGCAUCCUGGACCGACACUGACGCUGAGGAGCGAAAGCCAGGGGAGCAAAGCGGG